rnacentral:rRNA from 1 species
GCGGUCUGAGGGCGGUUCGCUUGAUUGAGUGCUACUGCUCUAUAGGCCGUGGUUUUGCCAGAGGUCUCGGGUGCUCUUAACCGAGUGUCCUGCGAUGCUGGCAGGUUUACUUUGAAAAAAUUAGAGUGCUCAAAGCAGGCUUUUACGCCUGAAUAUUCGUGCAUGGAAUAAUAGAAUAGGAAGUCGUUUCUAUUUUGUUGGUUUUCGGAAAUCGACUUAAUGAUUAAUAGGGACAGUCGGGGGCAUUUGUAUUCAAACGACAGAGGUGAAAUUCUUGGACCGUUUGAAGACAAACUACUGCGAAAGCAUUUGCCAAGAAUGUUUUCAUUAAUCAAGAACGAAAGUUAGAGGUUCGAAGGCGAUUAGAUACCGCCCUAGUUCUAACCAUAAACGAUGCCAGCUAGCGAUCUGCCGACGUUUUCUUUGUAGACUCGGCAGGAAGCUUCCGGGAAACCAAAGCAUU